GACAGAGGGUGCAAACGUGUUCGGAAUUACUGGGCGUAAAGCGUGUGUAGGCGGCCACGUAAGUCGGAUGUGAAAGCCCCAGGCUCAACCUGGGAAGUGCACUCGAUACUGCGUGGCUUGAGUAUCGGAGAGGUUGGUGGAAUUCUCGGUGUAGAGGUGAAAUUCGUAGAUAUCGAGAGGAACACCGGUGGCGAAGGCGGCCAACUGGACGGAAUACUGA
rnacentral:rRNA from 1 species